GUAAAAUUAUUCAAAUUAUUCUCUCGGCCUUAGCGCCAUUUUUUUUGGAAACCUCUGCGCCAUGAGAGCCAAGUGGAGGAAGAAACGAAUGCGCAGGCUGAAGC